rnacentral:lncRNA from 1 species
AAAACUUUUAUUUUAAAAUAUCUCAUAUGAAAGCACUUUAUACAGAGUUCUGGCCUGCUGGUUAGUAGUCAAAUAUUCCUAAAAGGUUUCGUUGACCAUACUUUGUCUUUCCUCUAUUUUCACUAAAAGGUUAUGGUUUUUAUAUGACUUAGUCUAUCAUGGAAAGUGGAACUACAUCUUUUACAGAGUAAUUUUAAACACUUUUAGCUUCCCGUUAGCACCAUUGGUAUUAAUUCAACAUUAAAGGCUUUAAAGAGUAGGAACCAAUGAAGAGUUAAGAGUUUUACAUCCCCAUGCCCUCCUACUUCCUAACCACCUCAAUGCUAACCAAGCCCUUCAGCCAUCCCCUUUCUUCUCUUUUGGGAGUCAUACAUACCUAUUUCUUUUCACUGCUUGAAGUUCAAGUUGUUCCACUUUAGAUAAUUUCUUUAACUUUCACACCAUGGGCAGUUAUUAUAAAUCCCCUUCAGAAUCUUUGUAAGCUUCCAUCUGUCUCUUCAUCCUCCCUGAUUAAAGCUUCUGCAAUCAGCAUUUAUGUCAACAUUAAUAUUAAAUGUUGACUGUCACAUUUCCCGAAUAAGCCAAAUACAUUUCUUGAAUGCUUAAAUACAUUAUCCUCUCUCUAAUCUUUCAGUUCUUGUUUACAAUGGCUUUGGUGUUUCAGUCGUUAACUAGAGUCGUUCUAUUAUAAGUGUGAUAACCAACUAACCAGACUUGAAAUUGUAAAGAAAAACAGGAGAUUAACAGUUACAACUUCAAGAGAAACUUUAUGCUUGUAUGCUACAUAUAAGCUUUUAGAAUUAUUGAAUUUAGAAUUAUUGGCAUGUACUCAACUUACAUAUAAUGUUGGAGUGAAUAGUAAAGCAGCCUUAAUCUUCCCAAAUUCUAUUAAGACUGUUACAAAACUCCUCAGUAAAGAAAUUAAUUUUACAGUGAACACCCAUAUACCCCACUACCUAAAUUCUACAAUUAACAGUAAAUUUUACUUGCUCUGUUACAUUUAUAUCCAUGUAUUUUCCAAUUAUUUUGAAUUUAACAGUAAAAAUUUGAAAACCAGAGUGUUAAUAAAUAGGAUACUCCAGUUAGCUAAAGAGUGAUCAGAAAACCUUAGCUGAAUACCUUUCACAAACCUAAUUCUCUUCUCUUUCGAAAUUUAGGGUCUGGUCUCAAGCAUCAGAUUAUAGGAGCUUAAUAGACACAGGUGGUUAAGGAAUGUACAGUGAGUAGGACCUUUGGAAAGCUAAUGGAAAAGGGCUAUCUGAUCUUUGAUAUUAACCCUUUAAUCAUUCUAAAAUUUGAGAGCAAUAAAUGCCUGAUCACUUGAAGAGUAAGGGUAAUUUCAACCACUGACAGCCUUUAUUUCAUAGGAUGAUCCCCAGAAUUACAGCUCUCUAAGGUUUUGAUAGGAAGAACCAAAGCUCUCUAUGAUUUGAUGUUGCUAAGUACAGUAUAAUAAUCUUAUUUAAAGAUUUUUCUGGGACGCCUGGGUGGUUCAGCGGUUGAGCAUCUGCCUUUGGCCCAGGGCAUGACCCUGGAGUCCCAGGAUCGAGUCCCACAUCAGGCUCCCUGUAUGGAGCCUGCUUCUCCCUCCGCCUGUGUCUCUGCCUCUCUCUCUCUAAUGAAUAAAUAAAGUCUUUAAAAAAUAAAGAUCUUAAUAUUAGAAGGCAAUUUUGAGUUCAAUUUAAAUCAAACAUUUGCAUGUUGGAAGUAAUCAAAAGUCAAAAUGUCCUUUACCUGCCAUCCCCUGCUCAAGAUUCUAGAUUGCCGAGAAUACAUUUGUAAUUUGGUUUUGACAACUAAUCAGGUUAAUUUCUAAUAUUAGAAUAAAAGAACUAUCUGUAAUAAUUUAGGGGUAGCUAUGUAUAUAUGACCAGCUUUGAAGGAAUUUGAUUAGUAUCUAUUAUCUUUACAACCAGAUUUACCACAUUUUCUGCCACUUUAUUAAAUUAGGAAAAAUUACUUUCCUGAAUCCUUUCUUAAGAAAUUCUUAAGUAAAUUGCUAGAGAAGUGAAGUAUUUGUCAUUAUUUUUUAUCAGUAUCUUUUAAGCUAUUCUACAUUCAUAAUACAUGAUCUAAUGGAGCUUGACUAGAACAUGUAGCCUCCUUUGACAGAUGUGCAUAUGAUUUUCUAUGUAGGUAGCUUCUGCUGUCCUCCCAUCUUUUCUACCAUUACUUAAUUCAGACUGUAAUUAAUAUCACCGUAGUCUAUGAUAAACUAUUCCUCAAGACACUUUAAAUUUGUGUUACCAUUUCUAUACUAAGGGAACAUUACUAUAAACUAUGCUUUAGAAAAUGAACUCCAAGAUCUCAACAACGAACCCUCAGUAAAUGCAACACCUUUUAUAAAGCUUAAAUUGUAAUUCUAUUUGGGAUUAUAGCACGAGCUUAAGUUUGACAAAUACAAUUCCUGGGUGUUGGGAACAUUACUUAUACAUUUCAGUAUAUUUAAUUUAGAAUUCCAAGAUAAUUGCAAAGGAUAUGAAAAGCAAUCCAAAAACUGUCAGAGAAUAAUUCAAGACAAUCUAAGAGAUUUAAAGAAAAGAGAUUUAGUUCAAGCAUAAAAUAGAUGAUCCCUAACUUAAAAAAUUAGGGGAUCCCUGAGUGACUCAGUGGUUUGGCACCUGCCUUCGGCCCAGGCCUCAUCCUGGAGACUUGGGAUCGAGUCCCAUGUCGGGCUCCCUGCAUGGAGCCUGCUUCUCCCUCUGCCUGUGUCUCUGCCUAUCUCUCUCUCUCUCUCUCUCUCUCUCUCUCUGUCUCUGAUGAAUAAAUAAAUAAAAUCUUAAAAAAAAAAAAAAAAAAAAAAAA